rnacentral:rRNA from 1 species
GACGAACGCUGGCGGCGUGCUUAACACAUGCAAGUCGAACGGAAAGGCCCUGCUUUUGUUGGGUGCUCGAGUGGCGAACGGGUGUGUAACACGUGAGUAACCUGCCCUUGACUUUGGGAUAACUUCAGGAAACUGGGGCUAAUACCGGAUAGGAGCUCCUGCUGCAUGGCGGGGGUUGGAAAGUUUCGGCGGUUGGGGAUGGACUCGCGGCUUAUCAGCUUGUUGGUGGGGUAGUGGCUUACCAAGGCUUUGACGGGUAGCCGGCCUGAGAGGGUGACCGGCCACAUUGGGACUGAGAUACGGCCCAGACUCCUACGGGAGGCAGCAGUGGGGAAUAUUGCACAAUGGGCGGAAGCCUGAUGCAGCAACGCCGCGUGCGGGAUGACGGCCUUCGGGUUGUAAACCGCUUUCGCCUGUGACGAAGCGUGAGUGACGGUAAUGGGUAAAGAAGCACCGGCUAACUACGUG